UAGGUUGAAGCCUCCGUUCCC
rnacentral:siRNA from 1 species